CAAAGCUUGUGCUGCUUGGACCUAGCCUGUACCUGUAGUAGCCAGAAAAAGCAGACUCAGUCACUGGAUUUUGUGUAUUGAAAACUUGACUUGCUGCUGGUAAUCUUACGUGAUUUUUUUUUUUUUAAACUUGCUCAAAUAGUAAUUCCAGAAGAGGAUCAUAAUUUAUUUUUAACGUCCUUCACUCCAGAGGCCAAUAUGUGUGUUAUUUUAAUUGUGGUUAGACAGUUUCCCUAAUUACUGCCUUCCCAAUAGUUUGCUCUGCUGCAUCCCAUAUGAAAUGCAUAGGAGGGAGUUCCCGUCGUGGCGCAGUGGUUAACGAAUCCAACUAGGAACCAUGAGGUCUCAGUUCGAUCCCUGCCCUUGCUCAGUGGGUUAUUGAUCUGGCCUGCAUCUGUGACCUAGACCACAGCUCACGGCAACACGAGAUCAGUGACCCACUGAGCAAAGCCAGGGAUCAAACCUGCAUCCUCAGAUACUAGUGGGAUUCCUUUCUACUGCACCACAAUGGGAACUCCCCUGCUCUUUUUUAUUGUCCAAAGACUAGACAAAAGUUCUGGCUUCAUAAAGUGAAAAUGUUUUUUUGUUUUUUGUUUGUUGUUUUUUUUGUCCACGAUUUUAAAUUUAUUUAUUUAUUUAUUUUUAUUUUCCCACUGUACAGCAAGGGGAUCAAGUUAUCCUUACAUGUAUACAUUACAAUUACAUUUUUUUCCCCACCCUUUGUUCUGUUGCAACAUGAGUGUCUGGACAUAGUUCUCAAUGCUAUUCAGCAGGAUCUCCUUGUAAAUCUAUUCUAAGUUGUGUCUGAUUGAAAAUGUUUUUUUAUCCUACAGUUGUUAAUUAAUUACAACUAAAGUCUUCCUGUUCUUCAAAAUUGCCUUUUGCCCAGGUGGUGGCAGCAUGUCUCAGAGAGAUAGCGUGAUGUAGGUUUUCUACAACCUUGCCAGUGGAUUUACUUCUUCAUCCCAUAUACGAGACCUGUCUGUCAGUCUCUAUUUCUCUCUUGGGCAUUUUCACUACUAUUAGACCAGCCUAUCAGUGAUUCACUCCAUCUUCCAACCCCCUUUCAGCCUCAUCUGAGUGGGUCAUACUCUGCCAGUUUGCUUUCAGGGUAUUUUACCUACAAAGAAAGCUUCACCAAAUUAUUAUUUUCUGCAAAAUUCAUUUAGACCUAACCAGCAACACAAAGACUUUUUUUUUAAGUAUUAUUAUUUUUCACCCAUUGUUAAAUGUAAUUUGGCAAAAGCACAUCCAAACUAAAUAAUUAGCUAAUAUAAUGAAAUAUCUGAUUAAAUUAGAGUGCAGGCAUCUUAAACUUUAUGGAAUAUACCAACUAAAGAGCUAAUGAAAAGCUUUUUAAAGAUAGAAUUUGUCUUCAAAAUAAGAACAAAAAUAUUCAACAGAAAGCAGUGAAAAGUAAUAUAAUUCAAAAGCAUGCAAGUAUAUAUCAAAAUAAUUAGUUAAACUUACCUUAGCGAAAUAUUGUUUGGAACAUUAUUCUCAUAUCUUGGCAGGGUUACUAACUUCCUAGAGGUUUCAAAUCAGGUGAUAGCUCCUCACAAAAGCCCUCUCUAACCCUAUCACUUUUACUUUUUUCACAGCAAUUCCAUCUGACAUCUUAUUUACUGAUUUAUUGUUUAUUUUUUCCCACUAGAAUGUAAGCUGUAUGAGAUCAGUUACCACAAUACUUAGAAUAUUGUUUUGAAUAAUUGAAUCCAAGAUAUGGCAUUGUCACCUACAAAUAAAACUGUUAAGUGUUUGAACAAAUCAAGAAAUAAUCUUAAAUCUCAGGAAUUUGUGAAGCUCAUGUUAAAGUACCAAACUGUUGUAUUAUGUUCUGACAAUAAUAAGAGAUGCCCUAGUAAGAACAGGUCUAAAGAUUAGUAAGUAAGAUAUUUGGGGAAAGAUAAAAAUAACUGUGGUUAUCUUGUUAAAAGAAGAAUACUAGUUGCUUAAGGAUUUCAAGUAUGUAAAAGAAUGUUCAAGGGACAUAGUGAUUCAUCAUCUUCACUGAUAAAAGUAAUUAGUCCUAUACUGUUGGUGCUGAGAUUUAAGAUAAGAACAGGCUAGACUAGAGAUCUAAAUAGGGAUCUUUGAAAAUGUGUUAAGAGUGAAUAUGCAUACUGGAUGCUCUCUCUAGAUAGUUCCCAGCUUUAUGAUUCCCAGUGCAGAGUACAAAAGAAAGAUUAGAUAGCAGAUGCUUCUCUUCUGAUUAUUCCUUGCUGCCCAUGGCCUUUUCUGGACGUUUUAGAAACAUUUUGGUGUGUUUGAGUACAGUCAAUAUGAGUGAUAUGUAUUGCUGCUUUGGGUAGUUAAAAGCAAUCUUUUCAGAUAAUGCUGAAAAUUGGGUGUUUCUGCUUUUUUAAUACCGAAACUGUUUACAAUUCUCUAUCUCUAGAAUGUACUAUACAUGCAUAUGCAGCAAACUAAUUUCCUUUAAUUAGAGGGCAGCCUUUUGGAAGGGUAAAAUUCCCAGUAAAUUCUUUUGAAGCCUUGGUUUACGUUACUGUUGUGAGAGACACUAAGCUUUCCUGCUGAAUCUAGAAAUUCAAAUAUUAGACUUACCCAUAAAUGAUGUAAUUAUAUUAACUAUGUCAAGUCACCUCUAAUUUCUAUGCUGUGGUCUCCAAGCCAUUAAAUAGGAGUUGCUGUCCAAUUGAGGAAACUGGUCCAUGUAUGGGAAUCCUUCAUUGUGAAAAAAAACAGUGUGUAUUGCAAAAGCUGUCUCUAGCAGCAUCACCUUUGCUGAGCAGCAUUUUAAUUUGAUACAUUUCAACUUCAGCUAAGCAAGCUACUCAAAGUAACCAUAUUAGACAACCUUACUUGCUAUAUGAUAUUGCCAGGUUACUUGUCCUUGUGUCAUACAGUGCUCUGUAUAAAAAGUCCCAUGUAAGUUAUUUUGGAAUGUGAUUCUUGGAGUUCCUGCUGUGGUGCAGCAGGUUAAUAAGGCAUUGUGUCUCUGGUGGCUCAGGUUGCUGCUCAAGUAUGGUUUUGACCCCUGGCCUGGCGCAGAGGUCAGGAUCUUGAGGUGCAGCCAAAAAAGGAAAAGAAAAAAAAGAAUGUAAUUCUAAAAAAAAUUUGGAAGCCACUAUUGAUAGGAAGAAUUUGCUGCUCUUUGACUUGACAGGAAACUCAAGAGCCAAAUUUGAAAUUCAUGUCUAACAUGCAUCCUGACUUGCAUACUUGCAUUUCUUUUUAAAUAUAUUUUUCCUAGGACAGAUAUUCUAUACCUAUCAUUAUUGUAUAUGUUCACGUAGUAAAAUAUCUCAAGUCCCUAUUGAAAUAAGGCACAGUAUAGUUUGCCUGUAGAUCGAGUGUUUGAAACCCAGAACUUUACAAAGAUGUUUGAUUUACUAGUAAAAUUCUUGCAGCACCUCAUAUUUUUAUGUUUAUUUUUAAAUUUUGUACUAUAAUCGUAUCAUUCAGAACUAGGGAACAUAGGAAAUUAUUGUUUGGAAUUGCAUCCCAAAGUCUAAUUCUAAAAGCUAGUUUGUGCCUUUAAUAGCCCUCAGUAUAAUAAUGUGUAUAUUUGGAAUCUAGUUUUAAAAGUGAACAAAAAUUUACUGGUGCCGGGCUAUAAAUAUAGUUCCCUAAACUGUCACUUAGAGACAUAUCCUAGUCCUGAAUUCAUAAAUUGCUUUUGCUGAGUUCACUGUUUAUGUUUUCAGGCUUUAAGUCCGGAAGUGAAACAGUCUGAAAUCCAGAAACUCCAUUCUGAUUCACAUAUGUUCUCUGGAACUGUAGUAAAUGAUAGUGGUACAUAUGAUGAGUUUCAGGAGGUUUUGAAUUUGGAGUUUUCCUUGAUUUUUAAAAUUGACCUUAAUCAAUUGGUUUUCUCUUCUCUUUAAUAAUCAGAUAAUAAUAAAAAUUGAACCAG
rnacentral:lncRNA from 1 species